GCUCCGAUCGUCUAGUUCGGUCACAACCUUUUCUUUUAGAAAAAAGAAAAGCUUGUGGGAAAAGAAAACUUUUCUUAUAAAUUUUCGUCUAAAUAUAGAAAAAGUUUGCUGCAAAAGGACACAGGAUUCUCAAUCCUGUAACUCGGGUUCAAAUCCCGAUCGGAGCA
rnacentral:tRNA from 1 species